rnacentral:rRNA from 1 species
GACGAACGCUGGCGGCGUGCCUAAUACAUGCAAGUCGAGCGGAAGUUGGAGAGCUUGCUCUUCAACUUUAGCGGCGGACGGGUGAGUAACACGUGGGCAACCUGCCCUGCAGAUCGGGAUAACUCCGGGAAACCGGUGCUAAUACCGAAUAGUUUUCGCCACCUCCUGGUGGCGUACGGAAAGACGGUUUCGGCUGUCACUGCAGGAUGGGCCCGCGGCGCAUUAGCUAGUUGGUGGGGUAACGGCCCACCAAGGCAACGAUGCGUAGCCGACCUGAGAGGGUGAUCGGCCACACUGGGACUGGGACACGGCCCAGACUCCUACGGGAGGCAGCAGUAGGGAAUCUUCCGCAAUGGACGAAAGUCUGACGGAGCAACGCCGCGUGAGUGACGAAGGUUUUCGGAUCGUAAAACUCUGUUGUGAGGGAAGAACAAGUACCAACUAACUACUGGUACCUUGACGGUACCUCACCAGAAAGCCACGGCUAACUACGUGCCAGCAGCCGCCGUAAAAC